UACGAAGGGGGCGAGCGUUGUUCGGAUUUACUGGGCGUAAAGGGCGCGCAGGCGGCCAUUCAAGUCAGGCGUGAAAGCCCCGGGCUUAAACUGGGAGGUGCGCUUGGGACUGGGUGGCUAGAGAUCGGGAGAGGAGAGUGGAAUUCCCAGUGUAGAGGUGAAAUUCGUAGAUAUUUGGAGGAAUACCGGUGGCGAAGGCGGCCUUCUGGGCCAUUCUUGACGCUGAGACGCGAAAGCGUGGGUAGCAAACAGG
rnacentral:rRNA from 1 species